rnacentral:rRNA from 1 species
GACGAACGCUGACGGCGUGCCUAAUACAUGCAAGUCGAACGCAGUGUCGGACGGGUGAGUAACGCGUAGGUCACUGCCUAUUAGCGGGGGAGAACUAUUGGAAAAGAUAGCUAAUACCGCAUACUCAUAGAUGGACCUGCGUUGUAUUAGCGAGUAGGUAGGGUAUUGGGCUACCUAGGCGACGAUUCAUAGCCGACCUUGGAGGGUGAUCGGCAACACUGUGGCUGGGUCACGGCCCAGACUCCUACGGGAUGCAGCAUUAGGGAAUCGUCGGCAAUGGGGGGAAUCCUGACCGAGCAACGCCGCGUGAGUGAAGAUGGUGUUCGGAUCGUAAAGCUCUGUUGUUAAGGAAGCGGUACUUAACCAGAAAGGGACGGCUAACUACGUGCCAGCAGCCGCGGUAAUAC